rnacentral:rRNA from 1 species
GAUGAACGCUGGCGGCGCGCCUAAUACAUGCAAGUCGAGCGAACAGAUAAGGAGCUUGCUCCUUUGACGUUAGCGGCGGACGGGUGAGUAACACGUGGGUAACCUACCUAUAAGACUGGGAUAACUUCGGGAAACCGGAGCUAAUACCGGAUAAUAUUUCGAACCGCAUGGUUCGAUAGUGAAAGAUGGUUUUGCUAUCACUUAUAGAUGGACCCGCGCCGUAUUAGCUAGUUGGUAAGGUAACGGCUUACCAAGGCGACGAUACGUAGCCGACCUGAGAGGGUGAUCGGCCACACUGGAACUGAGACACGGUCCAGACUCCUACGGGAGGCAGCAGUAGGGAAUCUUCCGCAAUGGGCGAAAGCCUGACGGAGCAACGCCGCGUGAGUGAUGAAGGUCUUCGGAUCGUAAAACUCUGUUAUUAGGGAAGAACAUAAGUGUAAGUAACUGUGCACGUCUUGACGGUACCUAAUCAGAAAGCCACGGCUAACUACGUG